UACGUAGGGUGCAGGCGUUAAUCGGAAUUACUGGGCGUAAAGCGUGCGCAGGCGGUCUUUUAAGUCAGAUGUGAAAUCCCCGGGCUUAACCUAGGAACUGCGUUUGAAACUGGAAGGCUAGAGUGUGGCAGAGGGGGGUGGAAUUCCACGUGUAGCAGUGAAAUGCGUAGAGAUGUGGAGGAACACCGAUGGCGAAGGCAGCCCCCUGGGUCAAGAUUGACGCUCAUGCACGAAAGCGUGGGGAGCAAACAGG
rnacentral:rRNA from 1 species